rnacentral:rRNA from 1 species
ACUCCUACGGGAGGCAGCAGUGGGGAAUCUUGGACAAUGGGGGCGAACCCUGAUCCAGCCAUGCCGCGUGAGUGAUGAAGGCCUUAGGGUCGUAAAGCUCUUUCGCCUGUGAAGAUAAUGACGGUAGCAGGUAAAGAAACCCCGGCUAACUCCGUGCCAGCAGCCGCGGUAAUACGGAGGGGGUUAGCGUUGUUCGGAAUUACUGGGGCGUUAAAGCGCACGUAGGCGGAUCGGAAAGUUGGGGGUGAAAUCCCGGGGGCUCAACCCCGGAACGGUCCUCCAAAACUAUCGGUCUAGAGUUCGAGAGAGGUGAGUGGAAUUCCGAGUGUAGAGGUGAAAUUCGUAGAUAUUCGGAGGAACACCAGUGGCGAAGGCGGCUCACUGGCUCGAUACUGACGCUGAGGUGCGAAAGUGUGGGGAGCAAACAGGAUUAGAUACCCUGGUAGGACAGUG